rnacentral:lncRNA from 1 species
CACUUCUCUAAACAAGCACUGGCCUCCAGAUAAACAGUAUUAAAACAAUUACAACUCAUCCAGCUCACAGAUGCUGAUUCACUGAACCCCUGUUCCACCGACCAGAAACAGCUUUGACUGGACAAGAGGCUGAAUUCAGUAACUUUCUCCUGAUGAGAAGACCACCAGCCAUGGACUGGUUCUUGCUGGUUUACAGAGACUGCACACCUGUGUACCUUCAUGUCCUGAAAAGAUCUUUUGACAUAGGGGCUAGAAAAAUGCCUGUUGCUUCAAG